rnacentral:rRNA from 1 species
GGGUUGUGAGGUUAAGCGACUAAGCGUACACGGUGGAUGCCCUGGCAGUCAGAGGCGAUGAAGGACGUGCUAAUCUGCGAUAAGCGUCGGUAAGGUGAUAUGAACCGUUAUAACCGGCGAUUUCCGAAUGGGGAAACCCAGUGUGAUUCGUCACACUAUCAUUAACUGAAUCCAUAGGUUAAUGAGGCGAACCGGGGGAACUGAAACAUCUAAGUACCCCGAGGAAAAGAAAUCAACCGAGAUUCCCCCAGUAGCGGCGAGCGAACGGGGAGGAGCCCAGAGCCUGAAUCAGUGUGUGUGUUAGUGGAAGCGUCUGGAAAGGCGCGCGAUACAGGGUGACAGCCCCGUACACAAAAAUGCACAUGCUGUGAGCUCGAUGAGUAGGGCGGGACACGUGGUAUCCUGUCUGAAUAUGGGGGGACCAUCCUCCAAGGCUAAAUACUCCUGACUGACCGAUAGUGAACCAGUACCGUGAGGGAAAGGCGAAAAGAACCCCGGCGAGGGGAGUGAAAAAGAACCUGAAACCGUGUACGUACAAGCAGUGGGAGCACGCUUAGGCGUGUGACUGCGUACCUUUUGUAUAAUGGGUCAGCGACUUAUAUUCUGUAGCAAGGUUAACCGAAUAGGGGAGCCGAAGGGAAACCGAGUCUUAACUGGGCGUUAAGUUGCAGGGUAUAGACCCGAAACCCGGUGAUCUAGCCAUGGGCAGGUUGAAGGUUGGGUAACACUAACUGGAGGACCGAACCGACUAAUGUUGAAAAAUUAGCGGAUGACUUGUGGCUGGGGGUGAAAGGCCAAUCAAACCGGGAGAUAGCUGGUUCUCCCCGAAAGCUAUUUAGGUAGCGCCUCGUGAAUUCAUCUCCGGGGGUAGAGCACUGUUUCGGCAAGGGGGUCAUCCCGACUUACCAACCCGAUGCAAACUGCGAAUACCGGAGAAUGUUAUCACGGGAGACACACGGCGGGUGCUAACGUCCGUCGUGAAGAGGGAAACAACCCAGACCGCCAGCUAAGGUCCCAAAGUCAUGGUUAAGUGGGAAACGAUGUGGGAAGGCCCAGACAGCCAGGAUGUUGGCUUAGAAGCAGCCAUCAUUUAAAGAAAGCGUAAUAGCUCACUGGUCGAGUCGGCCUGCGCGGAAGAUGUAACGGGGCUAAACCAUGCACCGAAGCUGCGGCAGCGACGCUGAUGCGUUGUUGGGUAGGGGAGCGUUCUGUAAGCCUGCGAAGGUGUGCUGUGAGGCAUGCUGGAGGUAUCAGAAGUGCGAAUGCUGACAUAAGUAACGAUAAAGCGGGUGAAAAGCCCGCUCGCCGGAAGACCAAGGGUUCCUGUCCAACGUUAAUCGGGGCAGGGUGAGUCGACCCCUAAGGCGAGGCCGAAAGGCGUAGUCGAUGGGAAACAGGUUAAUAUUCCUGUACUUGGUGUUACUGCGAAGGGGGGACGGAGAAGGCUAUGUUGGCCGGGCGACGGUUGUCCCGGUUUAAGCGUGUAGGCUGGUUUUCCAGGCAAAUCCGGAAAAUCAAGGCUGAGGCGUGAUGACGAGGCACUACGGUGCUGAAGCAACAAAUGCCCUGCUUCCAGGAAAAGCCUCUAAGCAUCAGGUAACAUCAAAUCGUACCCCAAACCGACACAGGUGGUCAGGUAGAGAAUACCAAGGCGCUUGAGAGAACUCGGGUGAAGGAACUAGGCAAAAUGGUGCCGUAACUUCGGGAGAAGGCACGCUGAUAUGUAGGUGAAGUCCCUCGCGGAUGGAGCUGAAAUCAGUCGAAGAUACCAGCUGGCUGCAACUGUUUAUUAAAAACACAGCACUGUGCAAACACGAAAGUGGACGUAUACGGUGUGACGCCUGCCCGGUGCCGGAAGGUUAAUUGAUGGGGUCAGCGCAAGCGAAGCUCUUGAUCGAAGCCCCGGUAAACGGCGGCCGUAACUAUAACGGUCCUAAGGUAGCGAAAUUCCUUGUCGGGUAAGUUCCGACCUGCACGAAUGGCGUAAUGAUGGCCAGGCUGUCUCCACCCGAGACUCAGUGAAAUUGAACUCGCUGUGAAGAUGCAGUGUACCCGCGGCAAGACGGAAAGACCCCGUGAACCUUUACUAUAGCUUGACACUGAACAUUGAGCCUUGAUGUGUAGGAUAGGUGGGAGGCUUUGAAGUGUGGACGCCAGUCUGCAUGGAGCCGACCUUGAAAUACCACCCUUUAAUGUUUGAUGUUCUAACGUUGACCCGUGAUCCGGGUUGCGGACAGUGUCUGGUGGGUAGUUUGACUGGGGCGGUCUCCUCCUAAAGAGUAACGGAGGAGCACGAAGGUUGGCUAAUCCUGGUCGGACAUCAGGAGGUUAGUGCAAUGGCAUAAGCCAGCUUGACUGCGAGCGUGACGGCGCGAGCAGGUGCGAAAGCAGGUCAUAGUGAUCCGGUGGUUCUGAAUGGAAGGGCCAUCGCUCAACGGAUAAAAGGUACUCCGGGGAUAACAGGCUGAUACCGCCCAAGAGUUCAUAUCGACGGCGGUGUUUGGCACCUCGAUGUCGGCUCAUCACAUCCUGGGGCUGAAGUAGGUCCCAAGGGUAUGGCUGUUCGCCAUUUAAAGUGGUACGCGAGCUGGGUUUAGAACGUCGUGAGACAGUUCGGUCCCUAUCUGCCGUGGGCGCUGGAGAACUGAGGGGGGCUGCUCCUAGUACGAGAGGACCGGAGUGGACGCAUCACUGGUGUUCGGGUUGUCAUGCCAAUGGCACUGCCCGGUAGCUAAAUGCGGAAGAGAUAAGUGCUGAAAGCAUCUAAGCACGAAACUUGCCCCGAGAUGAGUUCUCCCUGACUCCUUGAGAGUCCUGAAGGAACGUUGAAGACGACGACGUUGAUAGGCCGGGUGUGUAAGCGCAGCGAUGCGUUGAGCUAACCGGUACUAAUGAACCGUGAGGCUUAACCUUACAACGCCGAAGCUGUU